GCCAAAACUCUCAGCUGCUGUGUACAAUACCGUAUACAGCAGCAAAAAUUAAAAACCUCCAUCAGAAAGUGUGUGUUCCCUAAUGAACACACACUUUCUGAUGUUCUGUUACCUACCAGCUGAAACCCCCCUUUUCUCCACCCAACUUUACACCACUCUCUUAGCAUGGGUGGCUGUAAGUACACUAGAGCAAACCUAAGUUUCCUUUUCUUUGGGUAUGUUUUUAGUUUUAAUUUUUUAUUAUUAUUAUUAUUUUUUUUUUUUCAGUUGUCCCCACCAUCUUUAACCUGACCCCCAUUAGUACUAUCCUGACUAGCUCACUGUAAACUGAAAAAAAUUAUCAAACUGUCAACCAAAAGUAAACACAUCACCCGUGGAUGCAGUAGAGUAAAGCUAAGUUUCCUUUUGUUUGGGUAUUUUUUUUUUUUCUUCUUCAGUUGUCUCUGCCAUCUUUGUCCUGACCAUUAGUGCUGUCCUGACUAGCUCACUUAUGAGCAGAAAAAAAUUAUCAAACCGUCAACCAGAAGUAAACACAUCACUUUGGACCACUCAAAGACACAGUCUACCUGCUGUUUAACCCAGUCUUUGGUCAGAGGUGAAGAAGAGAUGACAUCCUCCACACCAUCCCCCUGCUGCUCUCAACAACCAUCAUCGCUGUGCUGGACAGACUGCAGCACCCACCAGGACCCUUCUCUCAUGGACUACACAAACAUGUGUUUUACCUGCUUGUGCUCCAGAUGUCCUGAAGCAGCUCUCAAGGACCACCAGACACCAGGCUGAAGCAGAACUGAUGCUGUAGUACCUGUCACUCACUGGGCUCGUUCCUGCUGAACCCCCAAGAAAUAAACCCCUCUUCAAGAAAGUCUGAGGUAAUGUCUUGGUGAACUUGUGUUCAUUCAUGUACAGCUCUGCUGAUACCAUCGUCUUUAACAGCAGUGUUUUCUCCCAGGUCUUCUUUAAGCCAGUUAAGAGAGGAAGAACAGCUUAGACACUCAGACAGCUGAACACACCAAAGGUGGACAUCAUGCAGCCACCCUGAGCCUUGAGCCUCUCUGUGUGAGGAAGCUUUGCUGCUGCAGACCUGGUGAAGUUGCUCUGCUGCAGUGCUGAAGGUAUUCAUUGUAAUGAUGUGUGUAUUUAUUCAACAUGUUUAGUUUCACAGAUUAUCAACACAAAUGUUUCUGUUUAUUUCCUGUUUUGAACCAGCUACAUUCUCCUACUUCAAGUCACUGUCUGUUCAUCCACGAUGUAGCAAGUGCAGCUAACUAAUGGUGAUCCUACAAUCAAUUGUAUUGAUUACAGAGUUAAACUGAAGGGGAUUUUGUUUGUUUUUUUCAGACCUCUCCUCCUCCUGCCUCUGACUCCAGUAAUGCUAUCAACUCGAAAACUGAUAACUGCACACAGUGAUUCUACAACCACAGGUCAAAGGUCAAAACAUUACCUCACUCAAAACCUUCACUCUGAAUUGUACCGGGCUCGGCUUUUGGUUUUGAAAAAAAAGUGCCCAGACAGAACACAGUACUCACUUGAGGAACUGACUGAUUGUCUUCAGGACAGGACAACUAUUACUCUUAUAUUAUUUUGAAUCCUGUUUUCUACAUUAAGUGAUCGGUUGUCGAUAUCUGUUAAUAUUUUAAGUUUCCUUUAUGUUUCUUGGACUUUAUUUGUUCUAUUUUAUUUUAGUGUUUUCUUUCCCUUUUACUGUGUAUCUGUCCUUAUAUCAAAAGAUGACCAACACUGAUGAAGGGAAAAAAUACCAGUUACUUCAGUUGUUGCAGGCAGCUGAAUUUCUCGUUUUAAUAUGCUCACCAUAGCCCUCAAAUUUACCUACAAGAGAAGACGUGUUUUUAGAAAUAAAUGAUGUACUUUGGGUUUCAGCUGGUAGGUACACUACAGGUUUUUCACGUGUGCUUAGUCUUGGGCUAAUGUUUUGGACAGCAGUGAUCCCAGCAUUACAGUGUGAAACAAUCCCUGCUGAAGGUUGUCGUCACAAUCAUCAAACACAGGGCUUGGUUAAACGAACUGUGUGAAGGGAUUUCAUAGAGGAACAAAGUUCCCAAUCCAGCAUUUCAGUAAGACAGAGUAGUGUGAAUGUUUGGAUAAGAAAACACUGGGAUCUAAAAUGCUGACCAGAUGCAAUGAGCUGAUGACAGUAUUAGCCUUGGUCUAACUACUGUGAAAAGCCUUUUGGGUGGUAAGGUGGACCAAUACAUGCUAUAAAAAAUACUUCAGAGCCAUAUUUAAAUUUUUUAACCUUUCACCUUACUUUGCCCGUAUAUUUCCGCAAGCCUGGAGGACUGCAUCUUUUGCAUUUGCAUUCUUUUCCUU